GACGAAGGAUGCAAGCGUUAUCCGGAUUCAUUGGGUUUAAAGGGUGCGUAGGCGGACUGAUAAGUCAGUGGUGAAAUCUCUUUGCUUAACAAAGAAACUGCCAUUGAUACUGUCGGUCUAGAGUAUAGAUGACGUUGGCGGAAUAUGACAUGUAGUGGUGAAAUACUUAGAUAUGUCAUAGAACACCGAUUGCGAAGGCAGCUAACGAAACUAUAACUGACGCUGAGGCACGAAAGUGCGGGGGAUCAAACAGG
rnacentral:rRNA from 1 species